rfam:Oryza meridionalis cultivar OR44 (W2112) chromosome 7, whole genome shotgun sequence.
UUUAAAUGCAACUAUAAAUUUCCGUUCUCAAUUUUAAUCGCUCAUCUUAUUUGAAAUUUUUUCAUAAUCAGUAUUUUUAUUGUUAUGAGAUGAUAAAAUAUGAACAAUACUUUAUAUGCGACUUAUGAUUUUGAAUUUUUUUAAAAAAAAUUUAAAUAAGACAAAUGAUUAAAGUUGUGCACGGAAAAUCAUGGUUGUACUUAAA